AAUUUAAGAAGCAACUUUGAUCAUAUUUUGCAUUUUAUUGUGUCAUGUAGCGUGGGGUGCUGGUUUUGGUCUUGACUCGGUCUCAGAUCCUAAAAGUCUCGAUACACUCUGGUCUUGACUUGGUCUUGGGUUAAGUGGUCUUGACAAUAACAUUAAUGUCAAGGUGUCAUAACGAAGACAUUUUUAUCUAGGUUAAUAACUUAGAUAUAGCUCAGAAAAUUAGGUUUUCUGAACUAUUGCAACAGAAAACACUGACCUAAUCAGUAGGUCAGUGUUGCAAUACAUCAGCUGUGUUACUGGGAGCCAAAGCACCCACAGCCAUCCAGAGCGUCGCCAUGGUAACUGCAUGAUAAUUGACAUAUUAAAUGGAAAUAUAUUGGUGAAAUUACAAUUUCAGAAACAUCCAUGUUAAAAAUGUGAAAAAAAUCAAAGUAAAUUUGUACAUUUGUAGAAAUCCAGCCUUUAAUUUGAGUACAUUUACUAAGUGAGGAAAAAGUCCACCACUUUUUGUGUUGUUUUGAUAUUUUUCUUUGGUAUCCAACCAUUUGUUGUUGGACUGGUUGAAGGCUUUAUAGCACUGAUUAAGCAAAUACUUUUACUAUUAACACUUUUUAGGUACAAUUUAUAGCAUUACAGGGAAGAGCUGUUAUGGAAACCACAAAUAAUUAAAAACAAGCUCUUUAAUUCACUAGAUCAAACUUAAAAAUGAAGGUGCUAUACUAGUUAAUACAAGAUCUCACUCAGCGUUACUGGCACGAUAGACAUUUUGAACUUAUAAUUUGUCUAGUGAGCAUUAUUAGUAGUGUUUGUUGCCACAAAGAAGCUUUACUCAAUCAAUAAAGAUUCUGGGCUUCGGGGUGUAGUGGUCAGAGCAGGGGCCCCACAUACGUAGGCAACAGACUUGUCCCUAGUUUGGUACCCUUUUUGCCCCUCUUCUUGUCAGAUUACUUCUAAAUGAAGGCCACUAGAGCUGAACGAAAUUUAUUGGAUAUUUUAAACUUUUUUAACAAAUAAAAGGCAAAGUGGGACGUGCAAUAUUAUCAACCCUUUUAAUUUCAGUGCAGCAAACUCACUCCAGAAGUUCAGUGAGGAUUUCUGAAUGAUUCAAUGUUGUUCUAAUUAACUGAUGAUGAUGAUAAAUAGAAUCCACCUGAGUGUAAUCAAGUCCACCUGCUCUCUGAUGGUCUCAGGGUUGUUUUUAAAGUGCAGAGAGCAAGGAAGGAAGGAGCAAGGAACACACCGACAUACUGUUGUGGAGAAGUUUAAAGCCGGAUUUGGAUAUAAAAAUAUUUCCCUAGCUUAAAACAUCUCAAGGAGCACUGAGCAAGUGAUCGUAUUGAAAUGGAAAGAGUAUCAGACAGCUGCAAAUCUACCAAGACCCAGACGACCCUCUAAAAUUUAAUCUCGAACAAGGAGAAGACUGAUCAGAGAUGCAGCCAAGAGGUUCAUGAUCACUGUGGAUGAACUACAGAGAUCUACAGCUGAGGCGGGAGAGUCUGUCCAUAAGACAACAAUCAGUGGUACACUGGACAAAUCUGACCUUUAUGGGAGAGUGGGAAGAAGAAUUCCAUUUCUCAAAGAUAUCCAUAACAAGUCUUGUUUAAAGUUUGCCACAAGCCACCUGGGAGACACGGCAAAGAAGUUGAAGAGUGGAAGAAGUUGCUCUUUGAGGUCACAAGGAAAGGAGCCACAGCCAAAUACCUCCAACGAAUAAGGCAAGUCCUGAGAAGCCAGCUCAAUGGCAAGAACAAGAUCCCUGCUAUAAACGGCUAUGCUUUACCAGUAAUCAGAUGCCCUGCAGGAAUAAUUAGCUGGCCAACGGAGGAGAUAAAGACCACGGAUGUUAAGACCCGGAAGCUACUAACCACGUAUGGAGGGUUCCACCUGUAACCCGUAAUUAGUCAAUUAGUCAGACUUUUAUUUUUACGGGCCCACUUUCUGUUUUGCCCCCAAACUCUUCAACUUAUUUAAAGUCCCGCCUCCAGCGCAGUUUAAAACACCACCUGUUUCACUGUGAUUGUGGCUGGCUGUUGGCGUCUUGCUGAUCAUCUCUCCUUGGAAAAUUCACCCAAAUCUCUGAAACUGAUUUGAACUAUUGAACUGUGGCAGUUGUUACCUGGGCUGUCACCAGGAUUCAGCUGAUCGCAGUCUAGCAUUCUCGGCUCAAAGGUCGGGUUUUUUUGAUGGAUCAGAUUCUCAGAUCCUCUUCUGAGCAAAGGAUGGCGAGCUAAGGACAAGAACUUUGAUCUUUUGAAUUGAUUUAUUUUGAAUUGAUUUGACCCUCAUUGUGUAUUAAUUGUUUGUUGUUUUUUUCCCCCAAUCACCAAUACAAAAACACCAAAACUAAAACAGUGAUUGUGUCUUUAUUCACACCUUAGGCUCCUUCAAGAACCAUCUUCUGAUGCUGCUUUUGUAGCCGCAGUUAGCUGCGUAGCCCAUAACUGUUACACACCCCAAAUCCAGCACCCUGAGACUGUACACGAGCCGUAAGGAAGGAGGCAGAGGACUAGUGAGUGUGAUAGCCACUGUCCAGGAUAAAACAUCCAAGAUCCAUAAAUGCAUCAAGGACAAAGCCUCAACAGAUGAUGUGCUCAGUGAAUGUCUCAGACAAUAGGGAACAGAAGAUGAGGUACUAGAGGUACCAUCAUGGGAGGACAAGCCCCUACAUGGGA